GUUUGACCUCAAAUCAGGUAGGAUUACCCGCUGAACUUAAGCAUAUCAAUAAGCGGAGGAAAAGAAACCAACAGGGAUUGCCUUAGUAACGGCGAGUGAAGCGGCAAAAGCUCAAAUUUGAAAUCUGGCACCUUCGGUGUCCGAGUUGUAAUUUGAAGAAGUAACCUUGGGGUUGGCUCUUGUCUAUGUUUCUUGGAACAGACGUCACAGAGGGUGAGAAUCCCGUGCGAUGAGAUGCCCAAUUCUAUGUAAGUGCUUUCGAAGAGUCGAGUUGUGU
rnacentral:rRNA from 1 species